rnacentral:rRNA from 1 species
UACAGAGACCUCAAGCGUUAUCCGGAAUCAUUGGGCGUAAAGCGUACCGAUAGGUGGUUGUAAUAGUCUUGGGUAAAAGCCAGAAGCUUAACUUCUGAGUUUGCUUAAGAUACUUUUCGACUAGAGGGGCAAAGAGGUGCUUGGAACGAAUGGUGUAGUAGUGAAAUGCGUUGAUAUCAUUCGGAACACCGAAAGCGAAGGCAGAGCACUGGGUGCCACCUGACACUGCUAGGACGAAAGCGUGGGUAGCGAAUGGG